CAAGGAACCUUCUAGCUAUUCCUCUUAUAAUAGAAGUAGGCAUUUUCUAAUUCUUUGACUCCUAAAGCUUGACAUUUGUGAUGAUGGACUUUUUUUAAACCAGAGAAAUCCUUGAAAGCACCAACAUCUGUGUAUCUCAAGGUUAGGACAGUGCUGGACUCAGUCUAAUCUAGGGGCUUCCCAGCUGGCUUAGUGGUAAAGAAUCCACCUGCCAGAGCAGAAGACACAGACUUGAUCCCUGGGUCGGGAAGGUCCCCUGGAGAAGGAAAUGGCAACCCACUCCAGUAAUCUUGCCUGGGAAAUUCCAUGGACAGGGGAGCCUGGUGGGCUACAGUCCACGGGCUCAGAAAAGAUUCAGACACGACUGAGUGACUGAAACAGCAGGCAUAUCUGGACCACAAUCCCUUGGCCAUAUCGGACAGAGCCUCCUUCUUGCCAUUCGUCAUGGUGAAGAGCAUGGACUUCACGGCGUGCAUUCUGGAACUCCCCUUCAACUGUCUAGUAUAGAACACUGGUUCUGAGUCAAAACUGAACUUGGACUGUUUCUGGGAAAAUUUCCAUACUUAGCUUCUGUUCCUGGACAAUGUCUACCACGAGGCUUGUCCUGGUUACAAGUUAGAGUUUUCCCCAAGAUUCUAAAACUGGAGUCUAGAAGAAGAUUCUUGCCUUUUAAUGUGCUCAUGUGGACUACAAGUCAUCGCAGAUUUAUGUGGAUUCUUUGCUCAGUGCUGAGGACGCCAACGUUCUGUCCUCCAAGGAUCCCCAGGCUGGUUUGUUGAUUGCUUAUGGAUUCAAGCAUAUCACUAUGUUGAAGCACUUCUCAAAUUAGAUCUGAUUCAACUCUGGGACUUAGAGAAUGUUUCAUCUUGCCUCUUCUUUCUGUAUAAGGCAACACCCGCUUUACGUAUCAUAUCUUUGUAGCUUGGAACUAACCUCUGAAGUUCCCAUGAUGUUUAGGCUCAAAAUUAUCAUCAAAUAAUGACAUUCAUAAUAACAAAGCUGACUGAAGGGACACUCUUGGUCCCCAGAGAUGACUUGGGAAUGUCUGCCUGGGAAGCAUAAGGCUACAAGAUCAAAUUCAGUGUUCCUAAUAUUUAAAAUUGCAUCAGGAAUAUUCCAUUGGUACAUCUUCCCUAAGGAUUAUUUUUUUCAGUCACUUGAAUUCAACGAUGAGAAAAUUUCAAGUACACAGUGCGUUUCGUUAACUUCAGUCACCAUGCUGUACGUCAGAGCUCUGGAACGUACUCAUCUUACAGCUGGAACUCGAACCCUCUGGCCAGCCUGUCCUCUCCACUCCCUAGCCCUCGGGAGCCACCCUUCUACUCUUUGUUUCCUUGAGAUCAACUUUUUUUGAUUCCACAUGUUGUAAGCUGCCUCGAGGCUAGGGCUUGUCUGUCUCGUUUGCCACUGUUUCCACUCGCUCCAUCCGCGCCAGGGACCCAGCGCAGGCGCUCAGUAGAGAUGUGAGACCACCUCGGUGGCGAUGCGCCAGGGACCCAGCGCAGGCGCUCAGUAGAGAUAUCUGAGACCACCUCGGCGGCGAUUCCUGUGAAAGGAGAGAUGGAGCGGUUCACACCAGGGUCUCGCGUCCCUCGGGAGUCUCGGCAGUUCUUCCCUGUGGUCCCUAAAUGAUACGUCACGUUUCCCGAGCUCUCGGGGCAAGAAACGCUUAAAGACCCCACUGCUAACUAAGCCUCCUGAAGAUUUUCAACAAGCCUGAGAUUAAGAGGACAGUACAUGAACACCUAUGCGUGCAUCACUCGGCUUGCAAACGUGUGAAAUAUCAUUUUCCUGAAGAUCUGAGUCUCCUACCUCUCCAUCAGUGAGUCUGGUGAUACUCAUUUCUUCAAGACCCUGCCUGUACUGGGGAUCACUGUCAACAACUAAAGCAACAGGAAACGUAGCGUUAAAACUUGGUUCACUUGUUACACCAAAAAAAUAAGUAAAUAAAAUGGUGGCCGAGUGUUUAAUUUGCAUAUAUUUUGGCCCCACCCCCUCUGUUUAGCAGGAAAGUGUUUGGGGCGUGGCCCAGGCUCUGAGAACCCCCCAAGAAGAUCAAUGCAAAGACUUCUCCAUUCAGAGCUACUACCUUCAGCCAUUCGAAUAACACUGAAGAGGUAAUCCAUAAACACAAGACAGUGUCUGUGUGCACCUGCAAGUCUGUUUUGCAGCAAAUUAACCCUCAACAAGGUGUGAGGGCCAUGUGCAUAGGACUGGAUGGCUUAGAACAAAGGUGUGGUGGGUAGGACGCGACUGCGGAUUUGGUCAUUGAGGAGCUUCCUGACGUUAUACCCCAGGUAAGCUGUGCUAAUGUCACUUAUAAAAAUAUUUUGUGAUAAUUGUAUGUGAUAUCAAAAGAAUAAGAAAUUCCCUUUUUGUUUUUUCUUUAGUUUUACUGAGGUAUAAUUGACUAAUAAAGUCAAGGUUCCUUUCCUUGUUUUAAACUGCA
ensembl:lncRNA